AAUCAACGCUGGCGGCGUGCCUAAGACAUGCAAGUCGAGUGGCCACUUUACUGUGGCCACGGCGAACGGGUGAGUAAUACCUAGGAACGUUUUUCUAGUUGAGGAUAACCAGCCGAAAGGUUGGAUAAUACUCAAUGUGAUCGCAAGAUCAAAGAAGCAAUUCGCUAGAAAUGCGGCCUGGGCACCAUCAGCUAGUUGGUAGGGUAAUGGCCUACCAAGGCUAUGACGGUUAGGGGCCCUAAGAGGGGAAA
rnacentral:rRNA from 1 species